GACGAACGCUGGCGGCGUGCUUAACACAUGCAAGUCGAACGGAGCACCCUUGACUGAGGUUUCGGCCAAAUGAUAGGAAUGCUUAGUGGCGGACUGGUGAGUAACGCGUGAGGAACCUACCUUCCAGAGGGGGACAACAGUUGGAAACGACUGCUAAUACCGCAUGACGCAUGACCGGGGCAUCCCGGGCAUGUCAAAGAUUUUAUCGCUGGAAGAUGGCCUCGCGUCUGAUUAGCUAGAUGGUGGGGUAACGGCCCACCAUGGCGACGAUCAGUAGCCGGACUGAGAGGUUGACCGGCCACAUUGGGACUGAGAUACGGCCCAGACUCCUACGGGAGGCAGCAGUGGGGAAUAUUGGGCAAUGGACGCAAGUCUGACCCAGCAACGCCGCGUGAAGGAAGAAGGCUUUCGGGUUGUAAACUUCUUUUGUCAGGGAAGAGUAGAAGACGGUACCUGACGAAUAAGCCACGGCU
rnacentral:rRNA from 1 species